AUUGAACGCUGGCGGCAUGCUUUACACAUGCAAGUCGGACGGCAGCACAGAGAAGCUUGCUUCUUGGGUGGCGAGUGGCGAACGGGUGAGUAAUAUAUCGGAACGUACCGAGUAAUGGGGGAUAACUAAUCGAAAGAUUAGCUAAUACCGCAUAUUCUCUGAGGAGGAAAGCAGGGGACCUUCGGGCCUUGCGUUAUUCGAGCGGCCGAUAUCUGAUUAGCUAGUUGGUGGGGUAAAGGCCUACCAAGGCGACGAUCAGUAGCGGGUCUGAGAGGAUGAUCCGCCACACUGGGACUGAGACACGGCCCAGACUCCUACGGGAGGUAGCAGUGGGGAAUUUUGGACAAUGGGCGCAAGCCUGAUCCAGCCAUGCCGCGUGUCUGAAGAAGGCCUUCGGGUUGUAAAGGACUUUUGUCAGGGAAGAAAAGGCUGUUGCUAAUAUCGACAGCUGAUGACGGUACCUGAAGAAUAAGCACCGGCUAACUACGUG
rnacentral:rRNA from 1 species